rnacentral:rRNA from 1 species
CAUGCAAGUCGAACGAACCUUCGGGUUAGUGGCGGACGGGUGAGUAACGCGUGAGAAUCUGCCCUCAGGAGGGGGAUAACAGUUGGAAACGACUGCUAAUACCCCAUAUGCCGAGAGGUGAAAUGAAUUUCGCCUGGGGAUGAGCUCGCGUCUGAUUAGCUUGUUGGUGGGGUAAUAGCCUACCAAGGCUUCGAUCAGUAGCUGGUCUGAGAGGACGAUCAGCCACACUGGGACUGAGACACGGCCCAGACCCCUACGGGAGGCAGCAGUGGGGAAUUUUCCGCAAUGGGCGAAAGCCUGACGGAGCAACGCCGCGUGAGGGAUGGAGGCCUUUGGGCUGUAAACCUCUUUUCUCAAGGAAGAAGAUCUGACGGUACUUGAGGAAUAAGCCACGGCUAAUUCCGUGCCAGCAGCCGCGGUAAUACGGGAGUGGCAAGCGUUAUCCGGAAUUAUUGGGCGUAAAGCGUCCGCAGGCGGCCGUUUAAGUCUGUUGUUAAAUCGUGGAGCUCAACUCCAUCACGGCAAUGGAAACUGUUCGGCUUGAGUAUGGUAGGGGCAGAGGGAAUUUCCGGUGUAGCGGUGAAAUGCGUAGAUAUCGGGAAGAACACCAGUGGCGAAAGCGCUCUGCUGGGCCAUUACUGACG